AAAUGAUUUGUCAUAAAUCCCUGCAGUGUCUGUAACCACCCACUAAAAAGAUGUGAAGAAAGGGACCGUCGCAGACAUUGCAAAGGAGAAAGCAAAUCUAAAACAGGGCUGGGGGGUUAUGCUUCCUUUUGAUGUUGGGGCAAAGAGCACAGAAACUUAGAAAAAAGUGUGACUCAUUCAUAUAUUCUCUCUCUGUGUGUGUCUGUCUCUCUCUCUCUAAACAAGAGCGCCACCACCAUUUUCAUGAGCUUGGGAUGGUUGUUUCUGACAUCUGCACAGUUAUUUCAAGCCAAGAGAGUUAGAAACUGUGAAGAUUGACAGCAGGCACAGAGACAGAUGAACUACUUAAGCAUCAAAUCAAACAAGAGGCAAAGCCCCAUUUCCUGAGCUGGGAAAUCCACCUACUAGAGAAGACAGAGGAUUUACAGGAAAGAGGCUACACGUCUAUUAAAACACAUCUGUCUCCAUUUGAAAUAUAAUCAUUUGAAGCUGAUGGCGAUAGAAGAGCCAGAAAAUAACUUUUAUGAAAUAGUGGUCUCAUUGCCAUGUACUAAAAAUACCACCAUCAAAAGCUUAGAUACAACGCCUUGGAGUUACAUACACUAUAAAAGGCAAAAACCGGGAAAGGCAUUGUAUGGCAAAUAUGUUUUAGAGUUGGUAAAGGAAGCUCAGCAAAGCAAGAUGACAAGGAACGCGAACCUCCGUUUCCACAUGGGCUGUGGAAAGUUCUGGUGGUGUACAGGGACUGUGGUGUAUGUCUUCACACCAUCACCUGAGCUAGCUGGCAGGAAGGAAUUCAUCUAAUUGUUUCCUCAGAGCAAAGGACGUUUUGACAGUUAUCUCCCUAAGAAGGGUGAUGUUUUCCUAAGCCAUUAAAAGCCUCCCAGGAAUGCAGUGGCCUAAGAAGAGGCCAGGUUGGAUCCUUAGAUUGCUGUGUCGGGUUCGGUGCUGUGUAAAAUCCUGUACUUCUCUUGUCCCCUCGUCUCACUCUUGCUGUCCUCCUACACUCUAUUUCUUUUGGGUUUUCUGACAUGAGAUCUCACUGUGCAGUCCAGGCUUCAAACUACAAUAACCUGCUUGUCUCAGCCUCCUGAGUACUGCGAUUAAACAUGCAUGACACCAACAUACAUGGGUCAAAGUCUAAACUGUCACUGGAAAAAUCAUCUGGAUCAUCUCACAGUGCUCCCGUGACUACGCAAUAUGACAAGGCUUGGGAAAGUGCUCGGUAAAUCUCAGAAGCUUCCCGUCUUCAUUCUGUCAGCACAUUUGAGCACGGACUGUGUGUCAGAAGCCAGGGGCAUUGUAUCUACAGUGUAAGAGGAUCUUGACUGGGAGGCCCCAGGGACCCUGUGAUGGAAAAGGCCUCCUCUCCAGGGCUGCUGGUCAG
rnacentral:lncRNA from 1 species